UCCCCUAAACCUCUGAAAUGAUCAUUAUUUGCUGCCUGAUAGUCUGCUUGUAGCGUCUACUCCUGCUUUCUGUCAGCACCUCUCCAGAGCCUGCUACUGCUGCCUACCGAACUGCUUCUUUUGGCUAUGCCUUAGCUACUUUCAACAGUACGUCUCAAUUUAUAGCCCAAACCAUGCAUGAAAUUAUGUUGAAAAUAGAGUUCGAAUCGGGCUUCAAACGAG
rnacentral:lncRNA from 1 species